UAUGUCCUACGGGGGGCAGCAGUGGGGAAUAUUGCACAAUGGGGGAAACCCUGAUGCAGCGACGCCGCGUGGGUGAAGAAGUACUUCGGUACGUAAAGCCCUAUCAGCAGGGAAGAAAAUGACGGUACCUGAUUAAGAAGCCCCGGCUAACUACGUGCCAGCAGCCGCGGUAAUACGUAGGGGGCAAGCGUUAUCCGGAUUUACUGGGUGUAAAGGGAGCGUAGACGGCUGUGCAAGUCUGAAGUGAAAGCCCGUGGCUCAACCGCGGAACUGCUUUGGAAACUGUAUAGCUUGAGUCCUGGAGG
rnacentral:rRNA from 1 species